rnacentral:rRNA from 1 species
AGAGUUUGAUCCUGGCUCAGGAUGAACGCUGGCGGCGUGCUUAACACAUGCAAGUCGAGCGAAGCGCUUAUGAAAGAUUCUUCGGAUGAAUUCAUUUGUGACUGAGCGGCGGACGGGUGAGUAACGCGUGGGUAACCUGCCUCAUACAGGGGGAUAACAGUUGGAAACGACUGCUAAUACCGCAUAAGCGCACAGUACCGCAUGGUACAGUGUGAAAAACUCCGGUGGUAUGAGAUGGACCCGCGUCUGAUUAGCUAGUUGGUGGGGUAACGGCCUACCAAGGCGACGAUCAGUAGCCGACCUGAGAGGGUGACCGGCCACAUUGGGACUGAGACACGGCCCAAACUCCUACGGGAGGCAGCAGUGGGGAAUAUUGCACAAUGGGGGAAACCCUGAUGCAGCAACGCCGCGUGAGUGAAGAAGUAUUUCGGUAUGUAAAGCUCUAUCAGCAGGGAAGAAAAUGACGGUACCUGACUAAGAAGCCCCGGCUAACUACGUGCCAGCAGCCGCGGUAAUACGUAGGGGGCAAGCGUUAUCCGGAUUUACUGGGUGUAAAGGGAGCGUAGACGGCGAGACAAGUCUGAAGUGAAAGCCCGGGGCUCAACCCCGGGACUGCUUUGGAAACUGCCUUGCUAGAGUGCUGGAGAGGUAAGUGGAAUUCCUAGUGUAGCGGUGAAAUGCGUAGAUAUUAGGAGGAACACCGGUGGCGAAGGCGGCUUGCUGGACAGUAACUGACGUUGAGGCUCGAAAGCGUGUGGAGCAAACAGGAUUAGAUACCCUGGUAGUCCACGCCGUAAACGAUGAAUGCUAGGUGUUGGGGAGCAAAGCUCUUCGGUGCCGCCGCAAACGCAUUAAGCAUUCCACCUGGGGAGUACGUUCGCAAGAAUGAAACUCAAAGGAAUUGACGGGGGCCCGCACAAGCAGUGGAUUAUGUGGUUUAAUUCGACGCAACGCGAAGAACCUUACCAGGACUUGACAUCCAACUAACGAAGUAGAGAUACAUCAGGUGCCCUUCGGGGAAAGUUGAGACAGGUGGUGCAUGGUUGUCGUCAGCUCGUGUCGUGAGAUGUUGGGUUAAGUCCCGCAACGAGCGCAACCCCUAUUGUUAGUUGCUACGAAAGAGCACUCUAGCGAGACUGCCGUUGACAAAACGGGGGAAGGCGGGGACGACGUCAAAUCAUCAUGCCCCUUAUGUCCUGGGCUACACACGUAAUACAAUGGUGGCCAACAGAGGGAAGCGAAGCCGUGAGGCGGAGCAAAUCCCUAAAAGCCAUCUCAGUUCGGAUUGCAGGCUGCAACUCGCCUGCAUGAAGCUGGAAUUGCUAGUAAUCGCGGAUCAGCAUGCCGCGGUGAAUACGUUCCCGGGCCUUGUACACACCGCCCGUCACACCAUGAGAGUCGGGAACACCCGAAGUCCGUAGUCUAACCGCAAGGGGGGCGCGGCCGAAGGUGGGCCCGGUAAUUGGGGUGAAGUCGUAACAAGGUA